GGUGAACGCUGGCGGCGUGCCUAACACAUGCAAGUCGAGCGGUGCAGUUUGAAGCUUCGGUGGAAAGCUGCAUAGCGGCGGACGGGUGAGGAAAACGUAGGAACGUGCCCCUUGGAGUUGGAUAGCCACGGGAAACUGUGGGUAAACCGACAUAGACUCGAGAGAGUAAAGGCCGAAAGGUGCCAAGGGAGCGGCCUGCGGCCCAUCAGGUAGUUGGUAGUGUAAAGGACUACCAAGGCUACGAUCAGUAGGGGUUCUGAGAGGAUUAACCCCCACACUGGUACUGAGACACGGACCAGACUCCUACGGGAGGCAGCAGUGAGGAAUAUUGGUCAAUGGGCGGAAGCCUGAACCAGCCAUCCCGCGUGAAGGAAGACAGCCUUACGGGUUGUAAACUUCUUUUCUGUCAGAAGAAUAAGCUUGUCGAGACGAGUGAUGCCGGUAUGACAGGAAUAAGCAUCGGCUAACUCCGUG
rnacentral:rRNA from 1 species